GACGAACGCUGGCGGCGUGCUUAACACAUGCAAGUCGAACGGAAAGGCCCUGCUUUUGUGGGGUGCUCGAGUGGCGAACGGGUGAGUAACACGCGAGUAACCUGCCCUUGACUUUGGGAUAACUUCAGGAAACUGGGGCUAAUACCGGAUAGGAGCUCCUGCUGCAUGGUGGGGGUUGGAAAGAUUCGGCGGUUGGGGAUGGACUCGCGGCUUAUCAGCUUGUUGGUGGGGUAGUGGCUUACCAAGGCUUUGACGGGUAGCCGGCCUGAGAGGGUGACCGGCCACAUUGGGACUGAGAUACGGCCCAGACUCCUACGGGAGGCAGCAGUGGGGAAUAUUGCACAAUGGGCGGAAGCCUGAUGCAGCAACGCCGCGUGCGGGAUGACGGCCUUCGGGUUGUAAACCGCUUUCGCCUGUGACGAAGCGUGAGUGACGGUAAUGGGUAAAGAAGCACCGGCUAACUACGUG
rnacentral:rRNA from 1 species